rnacentral:tRNA from 1 species
GCCUGGGUGGCUCAGUCAGUUAAGCGUCUGACUUCAGCUCAGGUCACGAUCUCCUAGUUUGUGGGUUCAAGCCCCGCAUCAGGCU